rnacentral:rRNA from 1 species
AGAGUUUGAUCCUGGCUCAGAGUGAACGCUGGCGGUAGGCCUAACACAUGCAAGUCGAACGGCAGCACAGGAGGGCUUGCUCUCUGGGUGGCGAGUGGCGGACGGGUGAGGAAUACAUCGGAAUCUACUUUUUCGUGGGGGAUAACGUAGGGAAACUUACGCUAAUACCGCAUACGACCUACGGGUGAAAGCAGGGGAUCUUCGGACCUUGCGCGAUUGAAUGAGCCGAUGUCGGAUUAGCUAGUUGGCGGGGUAAAGGCCCACCAAGGCGACGAUCCGUAGCUGGUCUGAGAGGAUGAUCAGCCACACUGGAACUGAGACACGGUCCAGACUCCUACGGGAGGCAGCAGUGGGGAAUAUUGGACAAUGGGCGCAAGCCUGAUCCAGCCAUACCGCGUGGGUGAAGAAGGCCUUCGGGUUGUAAAGCCCUUUUGUUGGGAAAGAAAUCCAGCUGGUUAAUACCCGGUUGGGAUGACGGUACCCAAAGAAUAAGCACCGGCUAACUUCGUGCCAGCAGCCGCGGUAAUACGAAGGGUGCAAGCGUUACUCGGAAUUACUGGGCGUAAAGCGUGCGUAGGUGGUCGUUUAAGUCCGUUGUGAAAGCCCUGGGCUCAACCUGGGAACUGCAGUGGAUACUGGGCGACUAGAAUGUGGUAGAGGGUAGCGGAAUUCCUGGUGUAGCAGUGAAAUGCGUAGAGAUCAGGAGGAACAUCCAUGGCGAAGGCAGCUACCUGGACCAACAUUGACACUGAGGCACGAAAGCGUGGGGAGCUAACAGGAUUAGAUACCCUGGUAGUCC